UACAGAGGGUGCAAGCGUUGUUCGGAAUUAUUGGGCGUAAAGCGCGUGUAGGCGGCUUGGCAAGUCAGAUGUGAAAGCCCUCGGCUUAACCGAGGAAGUGCGUCUGAAACUGCUGAGCUUGAGUGUCGGAGAGGAUGGCGGAAUUCCGCAAGUAGAGGUGAAAUUCGUAGAUAUCUGGAGGAACACCGGUGGCGAAGGCGGCAUCCUGGACCAUUACUGACGCUGAGUGAGCGAAAGCCAGGGGAGCAAACGGG
rnacentral:rRNA from 1 species